GACGAACGCUGGCGGCGUGCUUAACACAUGCAAGUCGAACGGAAAGACGAGGCGUUUGUGGGUUGCUCGAGUGGCGAACGGGGGUGUAAAACGUGAGGAAAAUGCACUUGACUUAGGGGUAACAUCAGGAAAAAGGGGCGAAUACAGGAUAGGAGAUCCUGAAGCGUGGGGGGGGAUGGAGAGUUUCGGCGGUUUGGGCUGGACUCGCGGCUUACCAGCUUGUUGGGGGAGUAGUGGCUUACCAAGGCUUUGACGGGUAGCCGGCGUUAGAGGGUGGCCGGCCUCCUUGGUCCUGAGAUACGCCCCAGACUCCUACGGGCGGCAGUAGUGGGGAAUAUUGCGCAAUGGGCGGACGCCUGUUGCAGCAACGCCGCGUGCGUGAUGAUGGCCUUCUGGUUGUAAACCGCUUUCGCCUGUGACGUAGCCUUCGUGACGGUACUGGGUAAAGAAGCACCGGCUAACUACGUG
rnacentral:rRNA from 1 species